rnacentral:rRNA from 1 species
AACGAACGCUGGCGGCAGGCUUAACACAUGCAAGUCGAGCGCAUCCUGCGGGGUGAGCGGCAGACGGGUGAGUAACGCGUGGGAAUCUACCUUUUGCUACGGAAGAGCGCCGGGAAACUGGAAUUAAUACCGUAUGUGCCCUUAGGUGGAAAGAUUUAUCGGCAAGAGAUGAGCCCGCGUUGGAUUAGCUAGUUGGUGGGGUAAAGGCCUACCAAGGCGACGAUCCAUAGCUGGUUUGAGAGGAUGAUCAGCCACAUUGGGACUGAGACACGGCCCAAACUCCUACGGGAAGCAGCAGUGGCGAAUAUUGGACAAUGGGCGCAAGCCUGAUCCAGCCAUGCCGCGUGAGUGAUGAAGGCCUUAGGGUUGUAAAGCUCUUUCACCGGAGAAGAUAAUGACGGUACCCGGAGAAGAAGCCCCGGCUAACUUCGUG